GGUGUGAGCUCAGUGGUAGAGCGGCUGACUGCAGAUCAGAAGGUCCUCGGUUCAAAUUCGGGCGCGCCC
rnacentral:tRNA from 1 species